rnacentral:lncRNA from 1 species
GGCACAGUUUUUAUUUGACAUAAUUAGUCUAAAGUUUAUCAUAACCGGAUUAGAGGACCGGUACAGUUCAACAACCGCUAAAUGGACUUAACGAGGUGCUGGCUGUUACAUCACAUCCAAUUCAAAGUACUUUGACUCCCUUGUCACACAAACGUGCCACAAACAGGCCGGUUUUGUUACUAUUUAACAGCACUACGUAUGAAUAAGAACCCAGGGUGCAACGCGUGUUAUGCAGUUCAAACUUUAAGAAUGUGAACUACUAACUCUGUGGGCAAUUUAUCCAAGUGCAAAUCCAGAUUCAAACUACAUGAAAUGGGCGCGACCUGCAUGCACAUCCGAACAGAACAGAAUGAAUGCCAACGCCCAGAAGAGGUGACAUAAAAUAUUAUAUACUUCGUUCCAUUUCACAACAACAGAUGUACGCUAACGCUAAGCAGCACAAUCAGUACUCCCUACAUUUGCAACCUAACGUAACAUAAUUAAGGACGCUAAUAUCUAACCGCAGAUCAGAAGUUCACAAUUCAGAGCCACCCACAAACGUGGAUCCAUGUUAGCCUCUCUAAAUCCAGAGCCACCCACAACACCUGACGAGUGUAUGUUUACCUGCCUGGUGGCCGAGACUGAUUUGUCCGCUGACCACCACCAGGCUGCAGAUACCGUUCGAUUGCUUGAUCGUAAGCAGAGCCUACCAGGCUCCCCCUCAUCUGCCCCGUGGGCUGCCAGUUCGGAUCCAUCUCAAUCUCCGGGACAUCGGAGUCCUCGAGGAGGGGCGUAGCGGGAGUCGGAGAAGGUGGUAGACCAGGAGACUGCACACGUGGAACAGUGGGUGCUAGGCCAGGAGACUGCACACGUGGAGCAGUAGGUGCUAGGCCAGGAGACUGCACACGCGGAGCAGUAGGUGCUAGGCCAGGAGACUGCACACGCGGAACGGUAGGUGCUAGGCCAGGAGACUGCACACGCGGAGCUGUAGGUGCUAGACCAGGAGACUGCACGCGCGGUUGCACUGCUGGAGUUGACGGUCGGGACAAUGCUUGCGUUCUCAUUGCCUGGCUCUGCUGGGGAACAUAGAGAUGGCCUGGUGUGGCCUGACUAACUGGCCCGCCUCGGUUCACCAGUUGGCCUAUUAGAUUGUCAAACUGUCGCUGGUCAUAUUGCUGAUACUGUUGAGGGUAGGGACCUCCAUAGGCAUUAGCACCUCUACCCUGUCCUGGGCCUCCUGUCGGCGGUCUCAUAUGCAUGUAGGGAUUUGCAGCAAGGCCCAUAACCCGACCACGUUGAUGGUUUGGCAUGUUGCGCAUAUCCUGCCAGCAUUACACAAGUCCAUCAAG